rnacentral:rRNA from 1 species
CGGCGGACGGGUGAGUAACGCGUGGGUAACCUGCCUCGUACAGGGGGAUAACAGUUGGAAACGGCUGCUAAUACCGCAUAAGCGCACAGUACCGCAUGGUACGGUGUGAAAAACUCCGGUGGUAUGAGAUGGACCCGCGUCUGAUUAGGUAGUUGGUGGGGUAACGGCCUACCAAGCCGACGAUCUCUAGCUGGUCUGAGAGGAUGACCAGCCACACUGGGACUGAGACACGGCCCAG